AAAGUUUUAAGUUAUAUAUAAACUAGCAUCCUUCAAAGUUGCCAAAAAAUUUUUUUUUAAACUUUA
rnacentral:tRNA from 1 species